CCUACGGAGGGCAGCAGUAGGGAAUCUUCGGCAAUGGACGGAAGUCUGACCGAGCAACGCCGCGUGAGUGAAGAAGGUAUUCGGAUCGUAAAGCUCUGUUGUAAGAGAAGAACGAGUGUGAGAGUGGAAAGUUCACACUGUGACGGUAUCUUACCAGAAAGGGACGGCUAACUACGUGCCAGCAGCCGCGGUAAUACGUAGGUCCCGAGCGUUGUCCGGAUUUAUUGGGCGUAAAGCGAGCGCAGGCGGUUAGAUAAGUCUGAAGUUAAAGGCUGUGGCUUAACCAUAGUACGCUUUGGAAACUGUUUAACUUGAGUGCAAGAGGGGAGAGUGGAAUUCCAUGUGUAGCGGUGAAAUGCGUAGAUAUAUGGAGGAACACCGGUGGCGAAAGCGGCUCUCUGGCUUGUAACUGACGCUGAGGCUCGAAAGCGUAGGGAGCAAACAGGAUUAGAUACCCGAGUAGUC
rnacentral:rRNA from 1 species